rnacentral:rRNA from 1 species
UACGUAGGGUGCGAGCGUUGUCCGGAAUUACUGGGCGUAAAGAGUUCGUAGGCGGUUUGUCGCGUCGUUCGUGAAAACUUGGGGCUUAACUCCAAGCGUGCGGGCGAUACGGGCAGACUUGAGUACUACAGGGGAGACUGGAAUUCCUGGUGUAGCGGCGAAAUGCGCAGAUAUCAGGAGGAACACCGGUGGCGAAGGCGGGUCUCUGGGUAGUAACUGACGCUGAGGAACGAAAGCGUGGGUAGCGAACAGG